UACGUAGGGUCCGAGCGUUGUCCGGAAUUACUGGGCGUAAAGAGCUCGUAGGUGGUUUGUCGCGUUGUUCGUGAAAACUCACAGCUUAACUGUGGGCGUGCGGGCGAUACGGGCAGACUAGAGUACUGCAGGGGAGACUGGAAUUCCUGGUGUAGCGGUGGAAUGCGCAGAUAUCAGGAGGAACACCGGUGGCGAAGGCGGGUCUCUGGGCAGUAACUGACGCUGAGGAGCGAAAGCGUGGGUAGCGAACAGG
rnacentral:rRNA from 1 species